rnacentral:lncRNA from 1 species
CUCUCCACUUGGGCGUCCCAUGCAUCCCAACUUUUGGGACGUCCCAAAGCUUAACACGCCCAAGGCGUUGGGCAUCCCAUCAUCUGCUGGUUGCUAGUCUUUUGUAGCAGUACAAAGCAAGAAGAAACUUUAGAGAAGAAAAAAAGAAAAAGAUCAAGCAAAGAGAUCAAGCAUUAAUCACGAUCCAGGCUUCGUUCAGAUUCAGCAGGCUGAAUUUUGGAGAACAAAAAUUCAGAUUUAAAAGGACUGUUCUAGGCUGAUCCUGAGUGGAUA